GAGUUUGAUCCUGGCUCAGGACGAACGCUGGCGGCGUGCUUAACACAUGCAAGUCGAACGAUGAAGCCGCUCCACGUGGGCAAUCUGCCCUGCACUCUGGGACAAGCCCUGGAAACGGGGUCUAAUACCGGAUAUGACACGGGAUCGCAUGGUCUCCGUGUGGAAAGCUCCGGCGGUGCAGGAUGAGCCCGCGGCCUAUCAGCUUGUUGGUGGGGUGAUGGCCUACCAAGGCGACGACGGGUAGCCGGCCUGAGAGGGCGACCGGCCACACUCCAGACUCCUACGGGAGGCAGCAGUGGGGAAUAUUGCACAAUGGGCGCAAGCCUGAUGCAGCGACGCCGCGUGAGGGAUGACGGCAAACCUCUUUCAGCAGGGAAGAAGCGAGAGUGACGGUACCUGCAGAAGCUAACUACGUGCCAGCAGCCGCGGUAAUACGUAGGGUGCGAGCGUUGUCCGGAAUUAUUGGGCGUAAAGAGCUCGUAGGCGGCUUGUAGCCCGGGGCUUAACCCCGGGUCUGCAUUCGAUACGGGCAGGCUAGAGUUCGGCAGGGGAGAUUGGAAUUCCUGGUGUAGCGGUGAAAUGCGCAGAUAUCAGGAGGAACACCAAGGCGAUCUCUGGGCCGAUACUGAAAGCGUGGGGAGCGAACAGGAUUAGAUACCCUGGUAGUCCACGCCGUAAACGUUGGGCACUAGGUGUGGGCGUCGUCCGUGCCGCAGCUAACGCAUUAAGUGCC
rnacentral:rRNA from 1 species